UAGGCUAUACAGUAAACAUAAUUGCACUCGCCAUUGUCGCUAAAACUGAGCUCAAACCUGAUUGGCUAAAAUCUCAUGCCGCUUGACUCAAAUUUUUCAAGUGCAUACUGUUGAAACACACAUCGAAGUCGGAAAAAAUCCUGGUAAAUUACCCAUUUAGCUAAACUUAUCAAAAGUGCAGAGCUCCCCUGGUGAACAAUGGACCUACACACUGGCACCUGACGGAACGGAAGAGACAAAAAUUGACUGUAGACCACUGGUGAUUUGUCGAAGAUUCGGUACCAUUCGAUUAAGAAUUCUACGAGUUAAUGAGCUUAACUUGAAGACAGUCUGUAAACAAUUUGAAGACGAAAUAUAAGUUUCACAGCUCCACGCAUUCUUUAAUGGCAGGCAUUUUAAAUAACUGGAAAUGGCUUGGAAAAUCAAUUGUGGUCUUGUCUC